GAUGAAGAACGUAGCGAAAUGCGAUACGUAAUGUGAAUUGCAGAAUUCAGUGAAUCAUCGAAUCUUUGAACGCAUAUUGCGCUCUUUGGUAUUCCGAAGAGCAUGCUUGUUUGAGUAUCAGUAAACACCUCAAAGCUUUUGGAUUUUUUAAUCGAAAAGCUUUGGACUUGAGCAAUCCCAACACCAAUCUUUUUGAGAUCGGUGGCGGGUUGCUUGAAAUGCAGGUGCAGCUGGACAUUCUCCUGAGCUAAAAGCAUAUUCAUUUAGUCCCGUCAAACGGAUUAUUGCUUUUGCUGCAGCUAACAUAAAGGGAGUUUGACCGUAUUGGCUGACUGAUGCAGGAUUUCACAAGGGUCGGCAACGAUUCUUGUUAAACUCGAUCUCAAAUCAAGUAAGACUACCCGCUGAACUUAAGCAUAUCAAUAAGCGGAGGA
rnacentral:misc_RNA from 1 species